GGUCAUUGUCAUAACCAGAGAAGUGGAUCCUGCCCCCUGGGAGCUGCUUCGCUGGAGGACUCACACCAAUCUUCAUGAACUGUCUUUUGUGGGGUUUCUUGAGUUCCAGCAGGGCGUAGUCAUAAUCCAUGCCGAUGUCAUUGGCAUUGCCCUUGAUCCACCCCUUGGGCACAUGGGUUUUCCCAUCGUGUAUGCAGUGGGCAGCAGUGAGGACGUGCUUCUCUGCCACCAGGGUGCCAGUGCAGCCAGUAGACAACUUCACCGAUGUUGAGAAAGGAUAAUUGAGCAGGAAGUCCUUCCCAAAAAUGCUAAACCUGCCAUCGUAGCCAUAAAUCUGCCUCUUCCUGCGAGAUCUCCCUGUGGCCUCCGAGUCUCUGCCUCGUGCCCUGCCUUCACCAUUGCUGAGGAUGUAGAUGCCCACCCGAGUCUCUGUGCGGCUGCCAUUGGCAUAAAGGGUUUCAUAGGAAAGGUACUGCUUGGCCUCUUCGUAGGUGGGCAGUGGUGUUCCCUUGUGACACUGAGGUCCACAUGAGGAGGACACCUCCAAUUUCGCUUUGGCGUCGAAGUCUGCCUUAGCUAAGUUGAGGGUAGACUGAGGCAAGACUACAGGGAGGCGAUAAGCCGGCCAUGUGGGUUUCCACGGAACGGUGUAGGGACUCACCUGCAUGAACACACAGAGCAGGACAAGAAGGAUGAAGAGCCCCGGGAUUCCAGCCAUGCUGAGUGCUACUGUAGAAACAAAGACAAGAAGUCAGGAGGAUGAAAGCUAUACAGUUCAUUUACUGCAGCCUGGCAGGGCACAGCCGCACGCUGGUCAUGUUUCUAAGACUGGGAACAUUCCUCAGGUUCCAAGCGAGAGCCUCCCUCAGCUUGUCUAAUAUCUUUACCUUGGACCUAUGCUAACAUGUGAAAGAGUUAUGGGAUGGAUGCUCACGUUGCUGGAAGAAUAAAUUAAUAUUGCAAUUCAGGAAA
rnacentral:lncRNA from 1 species